AACACUGUUAACCUGCGGUACCUGCGGAAGGAUCAUUACAGAGUUGCAAGACUCCCUAAACCAUUGUGAACCUACCUUCUACCGUUGCUUCGGCGGGCGGGCCCAGCGCCCCCCCGGCCCCCCGCGGGCGCCCGCCGGAGGAUACCCAAACUCUUGACAUUAGUGGCCUCUCUGAGUAUUCUUUACUGAAUAAGUCAAAACUUUCAACAACGGAUCU
rnacentral:misc_RNA from 1 species